GAGCGCCGUAGCAAUACGGAGCGGCAGACGGGAGAGUAACACGUGGGAACGUACCCUUCAGUCCGGAACAACCCAGGGAAACUUGGGCUAAUACCGGAUACGUCCGUAAGGAGAAAGAUUUAUCGCUGAAGGAUCGGCCCGCGUCUGACUAGCUUGUUGGUGAGGUAACGGCUCACCAAGGCUACGAUCAGUAGCUGGCCUGAGAGGAUGAUCAGCCUCACUGGGACUGAGACACGGCCCAGACUCCUACGGGAGGCAGCAGUGGGGAAUAUUGGACAAUGGGCGCAAGCCUGAUCCAGCCAUGCCGCGUGGGUGAUGAAGGCCUUAGGGUUGUAAAGCCCUUUCGGCGGGGAAGAUAAUGACGGUACCCGCAGAAGAAGCCCCGGCUAACUUCGUGCCAGCAGCCGCGGUAAUACGAAGGGGGCUAGCGUUGCUCGGAAUCACUGGGCGUAAAGCGCACGUAGGCGGCUUUUUAAGUCAGGGGUGAAAUCCUGGAGCUCAACUCCAGAACUGCCUUUGAUACUGAGAAGCUUGAGUCCGGGAGAGGUGAGUGGAACUGCGAGUGUAGAGGUGAAAUUCGUAGAUAUUCGCAAGAACACCAGUGGCGAAGGCGGCUCACUGGCCCGGUACUGACGCUGAGGUGCGAAAGCGUGGGGA
rnacentral:rRNA from 1 species